CUGCUCCAGAAGCCAAAGCUGAUGUGCCAGCCAGGGAGCCCACACCAGUCCCACCCCUUGGGGAAGUUGCCAGGAAUUAUCCUAGGCUCUUCAGACUGGAGCCACUAGGUGACAGCUCUGCAGGACAAGCUCAAAGGGCCUCCUGGCCCUGCAGGCUUCCCACAUCAUAUCCCUGGAGAUGAACCCUGGGUUGGAAUGGUCGGGUGGUCAGAUGCAACCCUGGAAACUUGGAGUUCUGAGCCUGGAGUGAGUGGCACUCUGAGGGUGUUCUGUUGGCCUUAUUCCUGAACAAGGCACCUGCUGGCUUAGAGGAAGACACCUGAACAAGUUUGUGCAUCAGGGACUUCAGAUCUGCAAAGAAGAAUACAAGAUGGCCCCAGGGCUCAGAGCCAGCAUUGCAAAGCUGUGGAGGUGCUGCCAGCAGAGUGCUCUGUCCGAUGGAGACCGAAGAGGUACUGCUGACUGUCCAGCUCUGAGCAGAGACCCCACUGGGGAGCCCUCAGGGUCCGUGGCAGCCCCAACCAGGAGAUGUCCAGCGGCAGCCUGCUUGGCUCUCAGCUCUCCUCACUGGAAGGAUCCUGUGGCUAUCCCUCCAAGUCAACAGAUACAGAACAACUCUCUGCGAGCCAGCCCGGUCCCCACGGAGACUUCACCUGUCCAUAUCGUUCAACUGCCUGCAACUUCCAACUGACGAACAUCCACAGCUCUGCAGCCCAGUGACAAACACCAUCUAACAGAUAAGGCUUCUGAAAAGUCAAAGCCAAUACUGCUUCCAUUGAAAAUUUAAUGCUGGCUCCAUCUUUGCCCAUCAUUCUUCUGACUGUUGCACAUAUCCCAAGAGGCCCUUGAAGCUAAAGCACUGCUCUAUAACAGGUUGUUCUGAAGUUCAAAUGAGUCGAAACACAUACAUUGCUGUUCCCAGACCUGGCAGAAAACAAAUGCUCCUAAGUGUUAACAAGGCACCCAGAACAGGAGAUGGACCUGAGAAACAAUGCCAGAAACAAAGAGCCUUGGAGAACAGGUGGCUGGAUGCACAGGUAACUGAGAGCCUCAGGGGCCUCUGAGCAGAAGUGACCUUGUAAGGCUGCAUUUCAGGGGAAAGGGGUCCCUGGCUGGUGGUAUUAGGUCACAGUGGUCCCACUGAGGUCCAGCUCAGACCACUGUGCAGACAUGAGAC
ensembl:lncRNA